UGUAACACAAUCUAUCAGUUCCAGAGACUUCAUUUCAUAUUUAGGUUAAGUGUUUGGUUGAAUGUCAGCUUAUUCUGCUGCCUGAUUGAUUUUGCUCUACUAGCAAAUGCACUUUCUGAAUUGUUCCUCUAGUGACAAUAUGAAGGAGUUUUGUUUUAGCUGACUUGAAUACACGAGUAAUGUUUAUAAAUGAAUUGGCACAAAUACUUCUUGAUGUUAUCCUAGCUUGUCAUGAUAUCAUGCUUUCACUAGGAGAGAGUGACACAUUCAUGCUUGUCAUGAUAUCUAGCUUGUUCCUCUCAUUUUCACAUUCAUGUUAGGUGUUAGGAGAGAGUGACACAAAAAAUAACUUCAUUAACCCUUCAUUCAAAAUCAAAAUUGGGUAAACAAUUUCCUCUCAUUUGCAUUAUGUAAUUUUUGUUUUCCUUGUUUUCGAUUUGCAUGAUUUUGAUUCUUUUCUUGUUAAUGAUUUUCUUGUUCAUGAAGUAGAAAUUGUAUUAUUGCAUUGCCUGAUUCUAAGCUUGAUAUUCUGAUGGGAAAGGCUAGGAGUGCUGACCAGAGUCCUGAUGCUUCAACUUCAACAGAGGAGUAGAACACUAAGAGGAGGAGGAGGAUGAUGAAACUUUGCUGCUUGUAGAGUAUGUGUAAAAUGUAGAUAUAUGUUGGUGUUCUUUCAUAUUAGUGUACUGCUUGAAUCAUAUUAGUGUAUAAUGUUUUUAGUGUUAAUAGAUCUUCUCAAUUUGGUUACUUUGAGUGCCAAAGUCUAGUUAUUCGAUAGUUAAAUUUUAGUUAGUGGAUGUACUUAAAUUUGGUUACA